GACGAACGCUGGCGGCGUGCUUAACACAUGCAAGUCGAACGGAAAGGCCCUGCUUGCAGGGUACUCGAGUGGCGAACGGGUGAGUAACACGUGGGUGAUCUGCCCUGCACUUCGGGAUAAGCUUGGGAAACUGGGUCUAAUACCGGAUAGGAGCCAUCUUGAGUGUGGUGGUUGGAAAGUUUUUUCGGUGUAGGAUGAGCUCGCGGCCUAUCAGCUUGUUGGUGGGGUAAUGGCCUACCAAGGCGGCGACGGGUAGCCGGCCUGAGAGGGUGACCGGCCACAUUGGGACUGAGAUACGGCCCAGACUCCUACGGGAGGCAGCAGUGGGGAAUAUUGCACAAUGGGCGGAAGCCUGAUGCAGCAACGCCGCGUGCGGGAUGACGGCCUUCGGGUUGUAAACCGCUUUCGCCUGUGACGAAGCGUGAGUGACGGUAAUGGGUAAAGAAGCACCGGCUAACUACGUG
rnacentral:rRNA from 1 species